CUACGGGCGGCACCAGUAAAGAAUCUUCCACAAUGGGCGAAAGCCUGAUGGAGCGACACCGCGUGCAGGAUGAAGGCCUUCGGGUUGUAAACUGCUUUUCUGGGGGAAUAAUUCUGAAGGUACCCUAGGAAUAAGCACCGGCUAACUCCGUGCCAGCAGCCGCGGUAAUACGGAGGGUGCAAACGUUACCCGGAAUCAUUGGGCGUAAAGCGUCCGCAGGCUGUGUAAUAAGUCAGAUAUAAAAUCUUGAGGCUCAACUUCAAGUCCGUGUCUGAAACUAUUACGCUAGAGGCUUGGAGAGGUGAGUGGAAUUCUACAUGUAGGGGUAAAAUCCGUAGAUAUGUAGAGGAACACCAAAAGCGAAGGCAGCUCACUGGCCAAGUACUGACGCUCAUGGACGAAAGCGUGGGGAGCGAACGGGAUUAGAUACCCCCGUAGUC
rnacentral:rRNA from 1 species